rnacentral:rRNA from 1 species
AUGGGCAUUGAGCUCCUUCAAUGUUUAUC